CCUACGGGUGGCAGCAGUGAGGAAUAUUGGUCAAUGGACGAGAGUCUGAACCAGCCAAGUAGCGUGAAGGAUGACUGCCCUAUGGGUUGUAAACUUCUUUUAUAUGGGAAUAAAAUGUUCCACGUGUGGGAUUUUGUAUGUACCAUAUGAAUAAGGAUCGGCUAACUCCGUGCCAGCAGCCGCGGUAAUACGGAGGAUCCGAGCGUUAUCCGGAUUUAUUGGGUUUAAAGGGAGCGUAGGGGGAUUGUUAAGUCAGUUGUGAAAGUUUGCGGCUCAACCGUAAAAGUGCAGUUGAAACUGGCAGUCUUGAGUACAGUAGAGGUGGGCGGAAUUCGUGGUGUAGCGGUGAAAUGCUUAGAUAUCACGAAGAACUCCGAUUGCGAAGGCAGUUCACUGGACUGCAACUGACACUGAGGCUCGAAAGUGUGGGUAUCAAACAGGAUUAGAUACCACAGUAGUC
rnacentral:rRNA from 1 species